rnacentral:lncRNA from 1 species
UAAAGUUCUUUCACAUCUCUCUUCUAGAUGCAUAUGAACUUCUGGGUUUAAGUGGGGUCGCUAAUGCUUGAAAGUUUGUAAGGAUUUCUCUCUUACACGUGCAGGGACUAAAAAUAAACAAAGUACACAAAUUGGUUAAUUUGGUAUGAAGUUGUGUUUUUGUUUCUGUUUCAUGCUUAAGAAAGUUUGCUAUUGACUACUGUUCAUCUGAUAAAAAUGGUAAUCUAUGAGAUGUUUUCCAAAUUAAUAAUGACAGAUAAAUACCUUUGGAUGUCUAAUUUCUCUCUACAAUUUAUUGCUCCCCUUUCUAGUAAUGGUAUUGAAAUUAUGAUAUGACAGGUUAGAGACGUGUUUGAUAGGAUGGAUGAGUAAUGGUAUUGACCGUGCUCAGAAGGAAAUGCCAUGCCUGCGGCUAAAAAUGAUAUAGUAAGUGAUGCAAAGCUCAAGAGGAAAGAUUGUGAUCUUCCUUUAAUCAAGAAAUAUGUGCCAGUGGCAUCUCUAUUGCGAGUUCAAAUCUUGUUUAUAGAGAGUCCGAUGGUGAUAGUGUAAGCAGAUGCAAAAUUUCUUUGGCUGGGUCUGGAGUUUCUUCUACGAGUCCUAGCACAAGUGAUGCAGGAAAUGUAGCCGAAGAGUUAAAAGUGAGAAAUUAUAAAAUUCCCAAUUCAAAUUUGGGUAAUAGUUCAAUCACCAUGGAAGGUUUGAAUUAUUGACGGGGCCAGCGGCAUCAAUUGGGUCUACAAGUAGGAACCCCCAAUGUGGUUUGAGGGACAAGGAGCAUAUGGUAUUAAGUUCAGAGGGAGAGUUGCGAAGAAUGUCAUUUCACCUUCAAGAUGGUAAGCGUAUGCUGACCAAGCAACAAAAUCGAGAUCAAGAUAAAGUAUCUGCAGAUUCUGCCCAUUCAGUAGAUAAUUACAAUAAGAUCCUCCAAAGUAAUAUACGGCCUCUUGGUGAUGAUCAGUCAAAUGUUUCAUCUAACUUUCCUCAGUUUCUUGCUAAACAAUUUUUGAAGGGAAAGGGGGUUCAAUCAAAUAGCAACAAAACAGAAGUUAGUAUUGCAGAUAUAAGUCAGAAUGAGGAUCAACAGUCUUCCAUAGGUAAGGUAGCAUUUGAUGCACCAUUGAGAUCAAGUGCCGAAUUAGAGAAAUGCUCUGAUAUAAGAGAUCUUGAAUCAUAUCUUGAUGGGGUUACUUCCACUAGUAACUGAAUUAGAUCCACCCCCAUAUACAACGUUGUCAUCACCACCACCAAUAACAUGAAUAAUAUAACUUUGUCAUCUACUCGGCCAAGGCAACAUGAAUAAUAUAACUUUGUACUGUACAUGAGUGACAGAUGUUAAGAUCUAGGACUAUUAAUAUUACCAAGGUCCUAUAUGCUAGCACAGAUCAAUUACUUGGCAAAUUUUUUACAAAGGCAUACAUUUUAGUUCCUGAUAAAAAUAAAAUAGGAAAUACCUAAUCAGACAAUUGAUCCAGGAAGAGCAGUAUACCAGUUCCUCUGCAUCAUUUAAUCCAGAUAAGGAAAUAAUAGCAUUAAGAAACCAUAUAGACGAUAACCAUAAGAUUCCUACUCAAAGAGCUAAAUUGCCAUUCUGAUUUUAACUGAUCAAAAUAAACAAAACUGGUUCAUACUUUUUCAUAAAUACUACCUCAAGAAGAGGAUAACUAUUGUAGGUUUGUUGAGACUGUUAGAACUUAGAAGUAAUCAUAUAAGUAAGGUGUUAAAAGUAACUCUGAGCAACUAAUAUUUUCCUUUUCAAUAUUAAGUUUCCCCGCUCAGAUUUUCUAUUCCUUCCUAUCCAAAAAAAAUCAAAAUUAAAAUUGUUAUCAUAAUUGUACACUAGACAUUAUAUCAGAACAUAAUCAAGAAUUCAAGAUUGAUCUAAUACCAAAUACUUCUUAUUCCUUCACUUUCCAUCUAAUUCAUAAACACCAAACAAUAAAAUAAAAUGAGACAUGAUAUUCACACUACCAACAUACAUAGUAUAACAUUAACAACCAUUAACAAACAAAAACUCAGAUAAAAAACUAACAUUUACUUUUUAGAUUGACCUCUUAUAAUCCUUGAUCUGAUUUUUAGAAAUAGUUUUAAAAAAAUCACAUAGCUCAUACCAUACCUAAUAUGUGUUAGUUAAAUCGAAUCUUUUUUCAAACAGAAUUGCUGAAAAUUACUUUAACAUUUUCAACACACAAAUCUUGUUUCAAAUAGAGUUGCUGAAAAUUACUAAAAAUUAAGCUGCUCACAUAUUCUUAAUUCAGCACAACCCAGUAUACAACAAUUCAUUCAAUUAAUCAAACAUUUGAACCACAUAAAUUAACAACAAAAGGAACGAAUCGAAACCCACAAGCUCUAAAUUAAAGAGGUAAAGAAAAAGAAAAAUCACAUGCCAAAGAUUUAAACAUAACAUAAUACACACAUAAAUUGGUCUAGGGUUUGGUACCUAACAACAAUCAAAAGAGUAGCAGCAAUUGAAGGAGUAUAAUGAGUAGCAGGAGUAACAGUCGCGGAGCGAAGGAGGGAGAAACUAAGAAAUUGACGGAUCAAGCGCAGAGAGAGGCGGAGCAGAUCGGAUGAGCAGUUGGGAAGAAAGGUUUACGUUAGAAGAGAAAGGCUUUUUAGGUUAGAGGGUAGAGACGUAAUUUACCAAGACAGAGG